rnacentral:rRNA from 1 species
ACGGGAGGCAGCAGUGGGGAAUAUUGCACAAUGGGGGAAACCCUGAUGCAGCGACGCCGCGUGAGCGAAGAAGUAUUUCGGUAUGUAAAGCUCUAUCAGCAGGGAAGAAAAUGACGGUACCUGACUAAGAAGCCCCGGCUAAAUACGUGCCAGCAGCCGCGGUAAUACGAGGGGUGCGAGCGUUGUUCGGAAUCACUGGGCGUAAAGGGAGCGUAGGCGGAACUGCAAGCGGUCUGUUCAAUCACGGGGCCCAACCCCGUACCAGCAGACCGGACUGCCGUUCUUGGAUAGUUCAGGGGAAGGCGGAAUUCCUGGUGUAGCGGUGGAAUGCGUAGAGAUCAGGAAGAACACCGAUGGCGAAGGCAGCCUUCUGGGGACUCAUCGACGCUAGUGCUCGAAAGUGCGGGUAGCAAACAGGAUUAGAUACCCUGGUA